ACCAAUCAGAGGCGGUUGCUAGGUUGAGCGGAAUCAGCCGACCAAUCGGCUUUUUGUUCACCGUUGUCCGCUGGCGUGCGCCGUGACCUGCAGAGAGGAGAGGAGAGCGGGGAGAAGCAAAGCGGUAAAAAAAGAGUGAAAAUACGGAGUAAAACCACCGUUUGAGCCGACGCUCCGUCGCUCUGGCUCAGCAGCACUGUGAAAAACUGCAUUACUGGAGGAGUGUGGACGGUAAAACAAACGCUGGAGCUGUCGCGCAUGACUCAAACGGCCGCAGAACACCGAACACACCUGCGGCGCAAAGGUCUACUUGCUCAGCUGCUGCAGCCUGGACGGAAAUAUCAGCUCUCAAGAGCUUACAGACCAAAGAGGUAUGACCAUUUUUAUGGGGGUGCGCAGGAAGUGCUUUGAGACCAGAUCGACGACCACGCUGAUCGGGAUCAGUGAAGAAAUUGAGCUGGAUUUACAAGACGUCCACUGAUGGUGCAGGAAACACUGGACUCAUCCAUGUUCAAGGUCCUGGAUGCGGUUGAUCUCCAUCACUUGAAGUUCUGGACCUGAAGUGGAUGAAGCACAACGACAGCGUCGUUAGCAGACGUGACCUGUUUUGCACUGCUGAUAAAAUGUUCCAAUACAGAAACAACCUUCUGUAAAGUUUUGUGUCCUGUGCUGAAAAAUCAGACCCAUCAAUACGAAGCGGCAGUUUCUCUCUGCAGCCACAAGAGGACGCUCUGCCUCUGCAGCAGGAGCCCACGACAAACACUGUUUGAAUUCACAGAUUUAUUUCUCGCUGAUCCUCGUGUUAGACACGAGGAUCAGCGAUGAUCCAGUUCAGGUAUCAGCGAAUACAAGCUGCAUUGUUGAUACUUCCGAAGAUUAAAGAGCAACCUCUGGAUGAAGGAGACUCCGGCUGCUUCUAUACCGUGUUCAG